GUGCUUGCUUCGGCAGCACAUAUACUAAAAUGGGAACAAUACAGAGAAGAUUACUAUGGCCCCUGCGCAAGAUGACACCCAAAUUCGUGAAGCAUUCCGUAUUUUU